rnacentral:rRNA from 1 species
UACGUAGGGUGCAAGCGUUAAUCGAAAUUACUGGGCGUAAAGCGUGCGCAGGCGGUUUAUCAAGACAGGUGUGAAAUCCCCGGGCUUAACCUGGGAAUGGCAUUUGUGACUGAUAGGCUAGAGUGUGUCAGAGGGGGGUAGAAUUCCACGUGUAGCAGUGAAAUGCGUAGAGAUGUGGAGGAACACCGAUGGCGAAGGCAGCCCCCUGGGCUAACACUGACGCUCAUGCACGAAAGCGUGGGGAGCAAACAGG